GACGAACGCUGGCGGCGUGCUUAACACAUGCAAGUCGAACGGAAGGCCCUGCUUGCAGGGUCCUCGAGUGGCGAACGGGUGAGUAACACGUGGGUGAUCUGCCCUGCACUUCGGGAUAAGCCUGGGAAACUGGGUCUAAUACCGGAUAGGAGCCAUUUUUAGUGUGAUGGUUGGAAAGUUUUUUCGGUGUAGGAUGAGCUCGCGGCCUAUCAGCUUGUUGGUGGGGUAAUGGCCUACCAAGGCGGCGACGGGUAGCCGGCCUGAGAGGGUGGACGGCCACAUUGGGACUGAGAUACGGCCCAGACUCCUACGGGAGGCAGCAGUGGGGAAUAUUGCACAAUGGGCGCAAGCCUGAUGCAGCGACGCCGCGUGGGGGAUGACGGCCUUCGGGUUGUAAACUCCUUUCGCUAGGGACGAAGCUUUUUGUGACGGUACCUAGAUAAGAAGCACCGGCUAACUACGUG
rnacentral:rRNA from 1 species